CGUUAAGGGACGAAGGCUCGUAUUAAAUAAUAGGAUUAGAGACCCUUGUAUCGUGGGCAGACAAUGAUGAGUGUCAUAUGCAAGAAAAUUUUUUGUAUAAAUGAAAGUGUAAGCGCUCCCCCUCAAGAGUAACGUGGCAACAUGGGAACUGAAAUCAUUAGACCGUUUCUGAAACUCGUAGUGAAGUAUGUUGUUUAAUUUGAUAAUCCACAAAUAACCUUACCACAACUUGAAUUACUAGUGCUUUUAUAAGCUUCCUAGUUAUUUUCGAAGCUUAUAAAUGUAUGAGUAAUAUAUUAGUAACAAGCGUUGCACGGCUGUCUUCAGUUAAUGUUGUGAACCUUUGGUUAGAUCCAUUAAAUUGACGUAAACCCUUGCUUUAUUUGUUUA
rnacentral:rRNA from 1 species